GCCGGUUACAGCCUAUCAGACCUAGAGGAGGGGUAUUUAGGCCCAGUUCUCAUCCUGCUCAGUGCCCUGUCGUGGUUUCCCUUGUGGUUGUCCGAGAGCGUGUUAUUGAUUCUGUUUUUUCUGGUUAUUUGACUUUGGCAUUGUUUUUGACUUCCCUGUUUUCUGGCAUCCCUGACUCCUGGCUUUUCCUUAUCGUUGUGUCUCUUUCUGUUUCCCUUGACCUCGGCUAUUCCUGACUAUUCUUUGGUACAUUAGUCCGGCCAUUCUAAGGUCCGGUAUACGUUACCUAUCAGUCCUCUGUGAUACACAGUUCUACGUGCUGGAUCAUUCUGUAAUCCUGACACUGUGUCCCCAUGUCUCUCAGUGUCCCCUAGUAUCCUAGGGACAUACAAAGACAUGGGGACACUGUGAGUAAUGAGGACACAGACACUGUGAGACUAGUGGACUGGGUGACAUGGGGACACUGACCCUGUGAUACAUAGUGACACUGAUGCCAGGCUGGC